rnacentral:rRNA from 1 species
AUACGUAGGGUGCAAGCGUUAAUCGGAAUUACUGGGCGUAAAGGGUACGCAGGCGGCUAGGAAAGAAGGAUGUGAAAUCCCAGGGCUCAACCUUGGAACUGCAUUCUUAACUGCCUAGCUAGAGUAUGUCAGAGGGGGGUAGAAUUCCACGUGUAGCAGUGAAAUGCGUAGAUAUGUGGAGGAAUACCGAUGGCGAAGGCAGCCCCCUGGGAUAAUACUGACGCUCAGGUACGAAAGCGUGGGGAGCAAACAGGAUUAGAUACCCUGGUAGUCCACGCCCUAAACGAUGUCAACUAGCUGUUGGGACCAAUAGGUCUUAGUAGCGCAGCUAACGCGUGAAGUUGACCGCCUGGGGAGUACGGUCGCAAGAUUAAA